GCGGACGUGGUGGAAUUGGUAGACACACAGGACUUAAAAUCCUGAGGCCGAACAGGCCGUGCGGGUUCGACUCCCGCCGUCCGCA
rnacentral:tRNA from 1 species